rnacentral:rRNA from 1 species
AGUGAACGCUGGCGGUAGGCCUAACACAUGCAAGUCGAACGGCAGCACAGUAAGAGCUUGCUCUUACGGGUGGCGAGUGGCGGACGGGUGAGGAAUACAUCGGAAUCUACUUUUUCGUGGGGGAUAACGUAGGGAAACUUACGCUAAUACCGCAUACGACCUACGGGUGAAAGCAGGGGAUCUUCGGACCUUGCGCGAUUGAAUGAGCCGAUGUCGGAUUAGCUAGUUGGCGGGGUAAAGGCCCACCAAGGCGACGAUCCGUAGCUGGUCUGAGAGGAUGAUCAGCCACACUGGAACUGAGACACGGUCCAGACUCCUACGGGAGGCAGCAGUGGGGAAUAUUGGACAAAGGGCGCAAGCCUGAUCCAGCCAUACCGCGUGGGUGAAGAAGGCCUUCGGGUUGUAAAGCCCUAUUGUUGGGAAAGAAAAGCAGCAGGUUAAUACCCCGCUGUUCUGACGGUACCCAAAGAAUAAGCACCGGCUAACUUCGUG